GAGUUUGAUCUUGGCUCAGAACGAACGCUGGCGGCAUGCCUAACACAUGCAAGUCGAACGAACCCUUCGGGGUUAGUGGCGGACGGGUGAGUAACACGUGGGAACGUACCCUUAGGUUCGGAACAACACAGGGAAACUUGUGCUAAUGCCGAAUGUGCCCUUCGGGGGAAAGAUUUAUCGCCUUUGGAGCGGCCCGCGUCUGAUUAGCUUGUUGGUGAGGUAAAGGCUCACCAAGGCUUCGAUCAGUAGCUGGUCUGAGAGGAUGAUCAGCCACACUGGGACUGAGACACGGCCCAGACUCCUACGGGAGGCAGCAGUGGGGAAUCUUGCGCAAUGGGCGAAAGCCUGACGCAGCCAUGCCGCGUGAAUGAUGAAGGUCUUAGGAUUGUAAAAUUCUUUCACCGGGGAAGAUAAUGACGGUACCCGGAGAAGAAGCCCCGGCUAACUUCGUGCCAG
rnacentral:rRNA from 1 species